rnacentral:rRNA from 1 species
AUUGAACGCUGGCGGCAUGCCUUACACAUGCAAGUCGAACGGUAACAGGUCUUCGGAUGCUGACGAGUGGCGAACGGGUGAGUAAUACAUCGGAACGUGCCCGAUCGUGGGGGAUAACGCAGCGAAAGCUGUGCUAAUACCGCAUACGAUCUACGGAUGAAAGCGGGGGAUCGCAAGACCUCGCGCGGACGGAGCGGCCGAUGGCAGAUUAGGUAGUUGGUGGGAUAAAAGCUUACCAAGCCGACGAUCUGUAGCUGGUCUGAGAGGACGACCAGCUAGACGGAGACUGAGACACGGCCCAGACUCCUACGGGAGGCAGCAGUGGGGAAUUUUGGACAAUGGGCGCAAGGCUGAUCCAGCCAUGCCGCGUGAAGGAUGAAGGCCUUCGGGUUGUAAACUGCUGUUGUACGGAACGAAAAAGCUCUCUCUAAUACAGGGGGUGAAUGACGGUACCGUAAGAAUAAGCACCGGCUAACUACGUGCCAGCCGCCGCAGUAAUAC